UUUUUUAGAAAUAACAGGUGCAAUGCCUUAAACUCAAGGGCCAGAUUCCAGUAACAAAAUAACAGUCUAUCAUAAUGUUUAGCCCACCACCACUCACAGAGGAAACAUUUGUCAUCAUCAUAACAAUUUGCCACUCACAUGCUUGUCUUACGUAAAUGUAGUAAACAUCCAAAUAUAGCCUUCAAGGGAAGAACCCUUCUUCACUCUUUUUUUUCAGUCUCUGGCUCAGAGGGCUAUCAUGGUUAAGACGUGCCCUUGUUGCUUGGUUUGCCCGAGGGCGGCUUGCUGCGCCUCCCAUUUGUUGCCCACUUUUGGCCAUUUGAGGUACCAUCGCUUCUGCCUUUACCUCGCCCCUGAUGCGCGCCUCUUUCAUUAUUGUGACUAGAAUUGAACUGUUUUUUUGAGUUUGGGGUUUCUGUUUCACUCAUUACAUAUUUCAAUGCCUCAAUGCCAUAACCCAGGAUUUUUAAAACUGUAUCCAUAUUGCUUGCUGCGGGUGCUGGGUCCACAGUUUCAUGUUGAAUUGUACGAGGACCCAACACAGCAUCUA
rnacentral:misc_RNA from 1 species